CAGCAGCCGCCGCGGUAAUACGUAGGGUGCGAGCGUUAAUCGGAAUUACUGGGCGUAAAGCGUGCGCAGGCGGUUGUGUAAGACAGGUGUGAAAUCCCCGGGCUUAACCUGGGAACUGCGCUUGUGACUGCACAGCUAGAGUAUGGCAGAGGGGGGUGGAAUUCCACGUGUAGCAGUGAAAUGCGUAGAGAUGUGGAGGAACACCGAUGGCGAAGGCAGCCCCCUGGGCCAAUACUGACGCUCAUGCACGAAAGCGUGGGGAGCAAACAGGAUUAGAGACCCCUGUAGUCCCUGUCUCUUAUAC
rnacentral:rRNA from 1 species